rnacentral:lncRNA from 1 species
CUCCGACACCACCAGGAUGGGGAGCAGGUCACCAGGAUCAUAGCUCAGUCAAGAUGACAUCACGCCCUGGAACUGGAUUUCAACUCAUCAGCCACUGGCCUCAUAACAGGAACUCAUGCAGGCAACGGUCAUCCAAUGAGGUGUGACUCAAUGAUCCUGUUUGCUUGGAUUUUGUGGCACCUUGAUCUUAAGACGUGAUUUCAGGAUGACCAUGGCAGGUGAUGAGUGUACAGAAAAUUGAACAUUGUCUCUUAAGUACUUGCAACUGGAAGCAACACACAGUUCUAGCCUUCGGAUCAAGACUAGGCACAUGACUUCACCUAAUUGCCUGGGAUCAGGAAAAAGUGAUCGUCUCUACGUCUAGGAAGGAAAGACAACUGGAAAUAUUGGUGAGCAUUAUGAUGUCUACUUGAAUUACCAAAAAAGAGAUCUCAAAAUGUACUCCAAACACAGUAAUUAGAGAAAAACAUCAUUAUUAAAUAUGUGCAGGCAGUGUCGAUAAAUAAUGACUUAUGAGAGCACCCAUUAUAUAGGAUUCAUGUUUCAAACAGAAUUUGUUGUUUACAAAUAUAUGAAAUUGGAUGCCUCAUGAUGAAAACAACUACAUCAAAUUAACCUGGAUGUCAUGAUGGAGCUCCAGGUAACCCAGG